rnacentral:rRNA from 1 species
ACGCACGUGUGAAACUUGAAGGAAUUGACGGAAGGCACCACAAGAACGCGUGGAGCAUGUGGCUUAAUUUGACCCAACGCGGGAAAUCUUACCGGGUCCGGACACACUGAGGAUUGACAGGAAAUAUUAUAACUACAUUCGUGUAGUUAUAUGUAAAUAUGCUAGUCCUUUCAUGAUUAUGUGAUAGGUGGUGCAUGGCCGUUCUUAGUUCGUGGAGUGAUCUGUCUGCUUAAUUGCGUUUCACUGAGGACCGUUAUACGUGUAGUGCUUAUGACUAUUACUAUAUAUAAGACUAUAGUAGUCUAUAGACUGGUUUGAUCCCUUUGCACCCUUCGGGGUCAUAGCGCGUGUCUUACCUAACAUUAGACAUACGCUAUUAACUUAUUGUGAUAUGUCAGCACCGCACACGCGAGUCCAGAAAGCAACGAACGUGACCG